AGCUUAGUUGGGAAAGCACUUAUUUAGCGAAUAAGGGUCGUGAGUUAAAAUCUUAC
rnacentral:tRNA from 1 species